CAGGGGGGCAGGUGUACCUUGAUGCAUGGAGUCAACCUCAGGUGUGACCUCCAGCCCGCAGCAGCCGCGGAGAACUCACGUUCUUCUCAGAGAAAGGAAAGAGGGCAGAGCUGAAUCAAGCCUGCCCAGUUGUGCUUCCAAGAAGCACCUGUGCCCAGGCAGUGAGUGAAACUCCUAGAAGGAAGCAUCAGGGAGGGGGGCAGCAUUCUCUGUCUUAGGAGAACAGACUCGUAAAGUGUGAGAGGUAGUUGCCUUGCUGUCUUGCUGAGAUGUCUUCAAGUCCUCACGUUUGCAUCCCCAACUUUAUUCUGCAGAAGAAAGCAGCCAAUGGAAGAAGCGGAUCUAGGAGGCAGCGGUAACCAUCACCUCAUGCUCCAGGCUUCUCACACGCUUGCAAACAUGUGCAUCAUCAUUAAAAUGCAGAUUCUCAUCCAGAGGCCUUGGGUGGAGCCCAAGAUUCAGAGUUUAUCCCAAGCUCGCAGGUGUUGCCCAGGUCCCUGAGCACACCGUGAGCUGAAAAGCAUUGCAGAGCCCAGGAUCGUAUGGUUAGCAGAUGAUAGAGCCAUACUUGAGCCCUGAUCUGAUUGACCCCGCAGGUGAGUGCCUUCCACUGCUGCCUUCCUCUCUGUCUACACUGCCUGGUCACUCUUGGUGAAAAGUCUCUUUUCCUUGGAGUCCCAUCAGCAAUGUCUACUUCUUUCAUGGUACUUAAGCUCUGUAUCUUAUUCCAGUUGUUUGGACAGGUGGUACAAUGCAUUGCUCACUUCCACCCCCACCCCCCGAACUUCUCAUCUAGAAUCCUGUGAAGAGAGUCAGUAGGCUGGAAUGUGGUUUUAGUGAGGUCAGGGUAGAAUCCCUUCCCUGGAUCAGGACUCAGUGCUGAUGGCAGAUUACUUUCCAGUCACGGAGGGACUGCCACGGUGGAAAGAUCUAGUCAACCAAUCGGCAACGACAUUUGAACCCCUUCUGGUGUUCAGUCUACGCCUGAUCCUCUUGGGCAGGAUCCAGAAAAAGUAAAAGACAUGAAGACAAGGGGCCCUGCCCACUGUGGUCUCCAUCAGGGGACCAGAAUAACCCCCUCGAAUCCGUGGUGAACAAGACAAGACAGCCUUAUAAUUAAAUGCUUAUUUGAAGGACUGGACGUGAUGUUGGAUUCAGAGCGGGGAGAGGUUUGGAGGAACCAGAGUCCGUUAGGAAGACUUUGUGGGGAAGGUGGGACCUCAAUUAAGUUUUGAAAGACAAACGGGAGGUAGAGAGGGCUGAGGGCACUUCAGGCCAGGGAAACAAAUAAGUUAAAACACUCCCUUCUUUAUGUCUAAGAGACAGGCCGUCGCUGUAGCUCUGUUUGUACUGGGCACUCUGACGUCAUGGUAGGUAACUUCCUUGGCUGCCAAAAGUGACUUGAUAUUUAUUCAGGCUUGAAAAUAAAUUGGCCUAUUACAUAAGGUCUAAGGAAUCU
rnacentral:lncRNA from 1 species